GCUCUCUCUUGUUUCUUCUACAUAGGGACAACAUUUGUGCGUUUGCUACCGCACACUUAUGAUCUUUACAGGGCACACUACUACAAUGAUGAUUUCGAUUGGUCGUACAUGUAUGCCAAUCCUGCUGCAGAUUAUUACUCCACUGCUUGGGAUGUGAUCAUUCCUCUUGGAGGUCUGCUAUCUGCUGCAAUCAUAUACUUGCAGCAGCGCAAUGGAGGUCGUUGUUUCCUGCCGAAAAGAUUUAAGGAGCUGAAAGUAUAUGAGAAGGUGCCAGUGACUAGUGAACCAUAAAGAGUGGUGAUAUGGAAUCUCUCACUUCUGGUAGUUUGCUACUUUAUCACUAUAAUACAUAUUUCUUUCUCCCUUUCCUGGUUAAGUUUGUAGAACAAUUAGGACUGCUGCUGCUUGUGCAAUUUAAUAGAAAUAACUCUCUGUUUGUAAUUUUUGAUGUAUU
rnacentral:misc_RNA from 1 species